rnacentral:tRNA from 1 species
GGAGAGAUGGCUGAGUGGUUGAAGGCGCUCGCCUGGAGAGCGAGUGGGCGGUACACAAUACUGCCUCGUGGGUUCGAAUCCCACUCUCUCCGCCA